GCUCCCCACUCACCCCUGCACCAUCCUCGCUGUCACAGUGCCUGAUGCCCCAAAACUGGAAGUGUGCCUGCCAUUGCCUUUCCCUGCCUGGUUUCCAGCAGUCCCAUCACAUGGCUCCAAAAAACAGCAUCGGGGUUUUUUUCUAGAACCCAAAUUUAUAAACAAGGGGCAAUGUCCUCUGACAAGACAGACUGGGCAUCCAGUUCCAAUCCAAAGGCUGCCCCUUUGACCAGGCCCAUCUUCUCCACCUCACAUCAGACAGCCAAUCGGCUGCCCAGACCUCGAAACCUCAGUAACCUAGAAGGAAAUGGACCUUGGCAAACGUGUGUCAGGAGAGGAUGACUUGGAGGUGUCCACCGUGUUUCUUACUGAAGAUGUCUAAAAGUCAAUUGGGGUCAAGGAACAAGCCUCUACUCACAUGCAUGUGGGCAAAUGAAGUCACAGAACAAAUAACCUACCCUGCAUCCAGGCACGGAGUCCAGGGACACCCCCUGCUGCUGCCUAAGAGAAAGUGGCCCAAGAAGCACUGGCCCGGUGCCUGCUGAUGCCAGGAGCCCUCUGCUACUGCCUGACACAAGCAUCCUGCGCUUCCCCCUCCCAGGCCCUCCCCGAAAGCGUGGGCCACAGGUACCACUCCCUAUGCCACUGAGCCCCACAUUUCCCAUCCCCCAAGCCACUCCCACCAGCCCCAGAGCUUUCCUACAUUUAUGAUUUGUCCAAAAAUGUGAUGCCCUUCAGCCCCCAGAAGGUCAUCCUCCAGGCUGUGAUCGUCACACAGGGGGUCCCACAUGGGGUCCUCACAGGCCUUCAACCCAGCACAAAUCGUGGCCUGGUUUGACCUUUGAAAUAUCUCAACAUCUAAAAUUCAGAGCUUUUUUGGAAUAUUUAUUUUCCAUAGAUAUAAUUCUUUCAAAUAAAUUCCUUAGAAAACA
rnacentral:lncRNA from 1 species